rnacentral:rRNA from 1 species
GACGAAGGUGGCUAGCGUUAUUCGGAUUCACUGGGCAUAAAGAGCGCGUAGGCGGCCCGGAAAGUCGGAUGUGAAAACCCGAGGCUCAACCUCGGGCCUGCAGUCGAUACGGGCAAACUAGAGUACUGCAGGGGAGACUGGAAUUCCUGGUGUAGCGGUGAAAUGCGCAGAUAUCAGGAGGAACACCGAUGGCGAAGGCAGCUCUCUGGGACGGUAACUGGACGCUGAGACGCGAAAGCGUGGGGAGCGAACAGG